GUUGUCGACGCCCUGAUACUGAUGUUUGCAGCAUAUUACUGCCUCAACAUCAGUUAUCGCUCAGAACUGGGAGCUACCCUGGAGUUCUUGCAGAGUGGUGUGCUUUGGCUCCUCCCUAAAAGCCCAAACUCACUCUUAGCCAAUCGGUGGUAUGUUUACUUCAGCUCAAUGAAAAUGACGGAAAGAGGGCCCUUUGUCGACAACAAAAGAAAACCUGGUGCCUAUUCAAGAUCAAUCCGGACA